rnacentral:rRNA from 1 species
GGUUGUCGUCAGCUCGUGUCGUGAGAUGUUGGUUAAGUCCCGCAACGAGCGCAACCCCUAUUGUUAGUUGCCAUCAUUCAGUUGGGCACUCUAGCGAGACUGCCGGUAAUAAACCGGAGGAAGGUGGGGGAUGACGUCAAAUCAUCAUGCCCCUUAUGACCUGGGCUACACACGUGCUACAAUGGUUGGUACAACGAGUUGCGAGUCGGUGACGGCGAGCUAAUCUCUUAAAGCCAAUCUCAGUUCGGAUUGUAGGCUGCAACUCGCCUACAUGAAGUCGGAAUCGCUAGUAAUCGCGGAUCAGCACGCCGCGGUGAAUACGUUCCCGGGCCUU